AGUGAACGCUGGCGGUAGGCCUAACACAUGCAAGUCGAACGGCAGCACAGUAAGAGCUUGCUCUUACGGGUGGCGAGUGGCGGACGGGUGAGGAAUACAUCGGCAUCUACUUUUUCGUGGGGGAUAACGUAGGGAAAAUUACGCUAAUACCGCAUACGACCUACGGGUGAAAGCAGGGGCUCUUCGGACCUUGCGCGAUUGAAUGAGCCGAUGUCGGAUUAGCUAGUUGGCGGGGUAAAGGCCCACCAAGGCGACGAUCCGUAGGUGGUCUGAGAGGAAGAUCAGACACACUGGAACUGAGACACGGUCCAGACUCCGACGGGAGGCAGCAGUGGGGAAUAUUGGACAAUGGGCGCAAGCCUGAUCCAGCCAUACCGCGUGAGUGAAGAAGGCCUGCGGGUGGUAAAGCCCUUUUGUUGGGAAAGAAAAGCAGCAGGUUAAUACCCCGCUGUUCUGACGGUACCCAAAGAAUAAGCACCGGCUAACUUCGUG
rnacentral:rRNA from 1 species